UGGCCGCCAUCAGGGACUCGCAGGCAAUGGGGACUACGACAGAUACCAUCUCUUCUUUUGAUCACUGUUCCUGAUUGUGACAUUGUGCAAGUGUUAAAUUGUGUGCCUUUUGUUCCUGAAGAAAGAGCUGGUGCUAGCAACCCCCUACCCUCUCGGGCCUCUGGACCUAGCUUGAAGUUCUGGAUUAUUUCCUUCUUCCUUGUACCUCAGCCUGAGCCUUCUGUCACCCAAAGGGCUCCAGCUGGUUUUUCACUCAGGCCUCAUUUUAUCUUCCAAGGUAUGUUUAAGGGAAGGAGUAGACAGGAUUAUGUCUCUCACUUCCUUACCUGGGGCAUAAUGGGUAGCUCCUCAUUGGAUAAAUGUUCCCUAGUGAACUCCCUCUUUAAAAUGGUGGCUGAUGGUGUGUUGGCGUUUGUUUUCACUCUCCUCUCACCAGAUUGUUUGCUACCAGACACCUUGCCAUGUGUAUAUGGAAUGUUUUCCUAGUUCCUAGCCAUUUUGUAGGAGUUUUUAAAUUAUAUUUUUUUGGUUGUUUCAGUGGACACUUAGAAGAAGGAGGAAAUCAAAUGUUUUCAGUUGCCAUCUUCAUAUAUGAAACUAUAGAUUAUUUUAAUACUUUUACAAAAUUGUAUUAUCUCAAAACUUAUUGAGAUGUUGGUCAAGUCUUAUGCUGUAAUAAUAUAUAUAUAUAUAUAUAGAAGGCAGUAGUUUAAAUAGCUCAUUUAAAACCAGUAAUUUGGGCUGGACAUCUUGGCACACACCUGUAAUCUCAGCACUUUGGGAGGCCAAGGUGGGUGGAUUGCUUGAGCUCAGAAGUUCAAGACCAGCCUGGGCAACAUGGCAAACCUCAUCUCUGCAGAAAAAUACAAAAAUCAGUGGACUAUGGUGGUGUAUACCUGUGUUCCCUGUUACUUGGGAGUCUGAGGUGGAAAGAUUACUUGAGCUGUGGAGGUUGAGGCUGCAGUGAGCUGAGAUCGCGCCACUGUACUCCAGCCUGAGUGGCAGAAUGAAACUGAGACCCUGCCUCAAGAUAAAUAAAUAAAUAAAAUCAGUAAUGUUUGUUAGUGGGUAGCGAUUGGACUGUAGUAAAAAGAGCUAUUAGCACAUAGGUUAGAGGAUUAAAAUUGUAAUAAUUUUUUUUUGUGUGUUGAGAUGUUUACAAUAUGCCAACAUUAUUUUUUGUCCAUAGGUGGCAGUAUGAGUAUAAAUUGCUGUCUGGUAUCAUGUUUGUGUAUUAGUCAGAGUUCUCCAGAGACUCAGAACCAGUAGGAUACAUACACAGUCAUACCUUGUUUAAUGAUGGGAAUGUAUUCUGAGAAAUGAGUCAUUAGGUUAUUCUGUCAUUGUGUGAACAUCAUAGAGUGUACUUACACAAACCUAGAUGGUAUAACCUGUUAUACCUAGGCUAUAUGGUAUAACCUAUUGCUCUUAGGCUACCUGCAGCGUGUUACUAUACUGAAUAGUAUAUACAAAUGUAACACAGUGAUGAAUAUUUGUGUAUCUAAAUGUAGAAAAGAUGCAGUAAAAUUAUAGUAUUACAGUGUUAAUCUCAGGGGACCACUUUUGUUUAUUUGGUUCAUUGUUGACCAAAACAUAAUUAUGCAGCACAUGACUGUAUAUAGAUUGAUUGAUAAAUAUGUAAAUACAUGAGAGGGGAUUUAUUAGAGGAAUUGACUCAUGCAGUUAUGGAGGCUGAGAAAUCCUGUAACAGGUUGUCUACAAACUUAGAGACCUGGGAUGCUGGUCGCAUGAUUCAGGCCAAGUCCAGAGGCCUCAGAACCAGGGAAGCUGAUGGUCCACUUCUCAGUCUGAGGCUAAAGACCUGACCAAAGCAGGGCUGCUGGUCUAGUCCUGGAGUCCUAAGGCUAGAGAGCCUGGAGUUCUGAUGUCAAAGGGCAGGGAGGAAGAGAGUACCCUUGCUCUGAGAGAGGCAUGGGAAAUCCUUUUCUGUCCUUUUUUGUUUAGUCAAGGCCCCUGGCCGAUUUGAUGGUGCCCACUACACUGAGGGCAUAUCUACCCCACUCAGUCUACUGACUCACAUCCCAGUCUCUGGAAACACCAUCACAGACAAACCCAGAAGUAAUAUUUUACUGGUUUUUCUAGGUAUUUCUUAAUCCAGACAAGUUGAUACCUAAAAUUAACCAUCACAGAUUGCUUCCCCCAUGCAACAAGUUGAACAUAGUUAAAGACAGACUCUCUGGAGAAACUUAAAAUUUGAGGGCAAAUAAUAAAUCCCAAACUACCUAAAAUACACACACUUCUCUAAUGCUAUAUUGUAUAUGCCAUACCUUAAAUAUGAAAAAGUUUGACAUUCAACUUUAACAGUUACCAAGCUUCAGUCAGAGCUGAGUGGAUUUCUUAAUAAGAUGGUCUCUGUUACCAUUAUUGUUAUGCCAUUUUUUUAUCUUACAAAAAUGUUCCCAGUGAAGCUUUUGAACCUCUUGAAGUUGAAAUUAGUGAAAACACAUGAAAACUCCAGUAGCACAGAAGAGGUGUCAAAUGUGAAAUAGGACAUAAGCACUGUAAAUACUGAAUUUCCAUCUGCUAGGCAUCAAAAAUUUUUUGAUACUCAGAAAUAGAAAAAAUGCGUAUUACAUUUUUGUAAUAUUCUCAAGGUCUAAGAGAGGCAUUAUUAGAGAAGGAAGCCAAAGCUGUCUGUUAUAUUUUAUUUCACGACCAUUUUGACUCCUGAGUUACAUACUAAUUUAUAAGAUUUAGACAGUUUGAUUUCCUACCUCUUCAUAUAUUCCAUUUCCCCACUCCUGCCCUAGUCCCUGAAGGAAAACUUAACAGAUGAUUUAGAAAUACUAUUUUCUUUUUAAUCAAUUCAUAUAAUUCUUCCUAUACCUAGCCUGGGCAACCCAUUCUGGGUUCACAUUUUACUCUAUUAGUCAUGGCAUGUAAAACAAUUCAAUAAUUGGUACCCUUCUGAUAAUUUUUUUUUUUUGAAACUGAGUCUCACUCUGUCACCCAUGCUGGAGUGCAGUGGCACGGUAUUGGCUCACUGCAACCUCUGCCUCCCAGGUUCAAGUGAUUCUCGUGCCUCAGCCUCCCGAGUAGCUGGGAUUACAGGCGCCCGCCACCAUGCCUGGCUAAUUUUUGUAUUUUUAGUAGAGACGGGUUGUUGACCAGGCUGGUCUUGGAACUCUUGACCUCAGGUGUUCCCCCACCUUAGCCUCCCAAAGUGCUGGGAUUACAGGCGUGUGCCACUGCGCCAGGCCUUACCGCAGUAACUUUCAUUAUAGUCACUGCUGGGUGGGAGAACAGGGGAGAGUUUUCUCUAAGGGUUCAGAUUAUUUUCCCUUCUUAGAGCUGCUGCAUCCAGUGAUGUUUCUGCCUACUUAACCUUUUUUUGUUGGCAUUGGUAGUUGAGAUGAAUUCUUAGAGAAUACCAGGAUUUUUCUUAGGAGAAGGGGAAUUUGAGAGUUAAUCUAAUUUUUUCUGACAGACUAGAGAUAAUUCAAUUAUGUGGCAGAAUGACAGAACUCUUAAGCAGAGGAAGAUAGCCGUGGGUGUAGGAAGAUUCAUCUUUGUUCAGAAAUAAUGUCCUCUUUGCAUCUCUCUUGACAGCUGGUGCUAGCAACCCCCUACCCUCUCGGGCCUCUGGACCUAGCUUGAAGUUCUGGAUUAUUUCCUUCUUCCUUGUACCUCAGCCUGAGCCUUCUGUCACCCAAAGGGCUCCAGCUGGUUUUUCACUCAGGCCUCAUUUUAUCUUCCAAGGUAUGUUUAAGGGAAGGAGUAGACAGGAUUAUGUCUCUCACUUC
rnacentral:lncRNA from 1 species